GAUGAACGCUAGCUACAGGCUUAACACAUGCAAGUCGAGGGGAAACGAUAGAGAAAGCUUGCUUUUUCUAGGCGUCGACCGGCGCACGGGUGAGUAACGCGUAUCCAACCUGCCCACCACUUGGGGAUAACCUUGCGAAAGUAAGACUAAUACCCAAUGAUAUCUCUAGAAGACAUCUGAAGGAGAUUAAAGAUUUAUCGGUGAUGGAUGGGGAUGCGUCUGAUUAGCUUGUUGGCGGGGUAACGGCCCACCAAAGCUACGAUCAGUAGGGGUUCUGAGAGGAAGGUCCCCCACAUUGGAACUGAGACACGGUCCAAACUCCUACGGGAGGCAGCAGUGAGGAAUAUUGGUCAAUGGACGAGAGUCUGAACCAGCCAAGUAGCGUGCAGGAUGACGGCCCUAUGGGUUGUAAACUGCUUUAUAAGGGAAUAAAGUGAGCCUCGUGAGGCUUUUUGCAUGUACCUUAUGAAUAAGGACCGGCUAAUUCCGUG
rnacentral:rRNA from 1 species